AGGCUAAUUUUUUUGUAGAAGUGAACCUUCUGCUAUAAACCAUCAAAUUGCGGGAACACCCUAAAGCAAUUUCAACCAAGCAAACGUGGUAACACAGUUUGUGGCUCAGGUAAUGACUCGAGGUAAGGUAAAAUCGAAAUUGAUAUACGAAAGUAGAAUGGGUAAUCCGCAGCCAAGUGCCAUAAAAAUGAAAGCGUACCUUUUGCAUAAUGGAUCCGUUAAGAUUAGAUUCAUUACAAGCUAGGUAAAGUUCUUUAUAAUGGUAUGCAGUUCAUCGACUAAAUGUUGGUUGGCGCAAGCUUAAGAUAUAGUCAGACCCUACUUGAAAGAGUACA
rfam:Chaetomium globosum CBS 148.51 scaffold_10 mitochondrial scaffold, whole genome shotgun sequence.